rnacentral:rRNA from 1 species
GACGAACGCUGGCGGCGUGCCUAAUACAUGCAAGUCGAACGCAGUGGGGACGGGUGAGUAACACGUGGGUAACCUCCCAUCAGAGGGGAUAACACUUGGCAACAGGUGCUAAACCGAUACUGGAGGAUGGACCCGGGGUGCAUUAGCUAGUGGGAGAGGUAACGGCUCACCAAGGCCACGAGGCAGAGCCGACCCUGGAGGGUGAUCGGCCAAACUUGGACUGAGAAACGGCCCAGACUCCUACGGGAGGCAGCAGUAGGGAAUCUUCGGCAAUGGACGAAAGGCUGACCGAGCAACGCCGCGUGAGUGAAGAAGGUUUGCGGAUCGUAAAACUCUGUUGUUAGAGAAGCGGUAUCUAACCAGAAAGCCACGGCUAACUACGUGCCAGCAGCCGCGGUAAUUC